rfam:Xanthomonas oryzae pv. oryzae KACC10331, complete genome.
AUGUACCGCUCGUACACUGCGGUUCUGAGCGCGCCGUGCGCACCUACUUGACGACUGCUCGUGACGCCUGGGUCGCAUCC